GAUGAACGCUAGCUACAGGCUUAACACAUGCAAGUCGAGGGGAAACGACAUCGAAAGCUUGCUUUUGAUGGGCGUCGACCGGCGCACGGGUGAGUAACGCGUAUCCAACCUGCCCACCACUUGGGGAUAACCUUGCGAAAGUAAGACUAAUACCCAAUGACGUCUCUAGAAGACAUCUGAAAGAGAUUAAAGAUUUAUCGGUGAUGGAUGGGGAUGCGUCUGAUUAGCUUGUUGGCGGGGUAACGGCCCACCAAGGCGACGAUCAGUAGGGGUUCUGAGAGGAAGGUCCCCCACAUAGGAACUGAGACACGGUCCAAACUCCUACGGGAGGCAGCAGUGAGGAAUAUUGGUCAAUGGACGAGAGUCUGAACCAGCCAAGUAGCGUGCAGGAUGACGGCCCUAUGGGUUGUAAACUGCUUUUAUAAGGGAAUAAAGUGAGUCUCGUGAGACUUUUUGCAUGUACCUUAUGAAUAAGGACCGGCUAAUUCCGUG
rnacentral:rRNA from 1 species